AUCUCUUGGAGCUUUAGCUCACCUCUCUGGUGUUGUUCUUGUAUUCAUUUGAUUAAUCUAGUUCUUGCCAGUUCUUCUUGAACUUCUUGGUAGAUAUCAAGUUUGUAUUCUGUGUACAUGACAGUUUGUCGAGACUUCACUCAAUUUAGAUAUCAGAGCUAGUUCUUCUUUGUUAGAGUGUGGAUUACCCCUCUACUUGGAAGUGUACUAGCAUUUUAGAGGUUGCGGAUUACCCUCCUCUAAAUUGAUACUUCUUUUGUUACAAUAUUGGAGUCUUAUUCUUCUUGGAGAGAGUGGAUUACCCCUUUUCAUGAAGCUCUUAAGGCAUUUUAGAGGUUGCGGAGUACCCUCCUCUAAACCAAUAUUGUCUUCUUGUAGAGUCAUUUCUGUCCUUCUCUUAGAAUGGCCGGGGGUCAAGACAUUAGUAUGAUGGAAAGUUCAGAG
rnacentral:lncRNA from 1 species